UACGUAGGGUGCAAGCGUUGUCCGGAAUUAUUGGGCGUAAAGAGCUUGUAGGCGGUCUGUUGCGUCGGCUGUGAAAACCCGGGGCUCAACUCCGAGCCUGCAGCCGAUACGGGCAGACUAGAGUUCGGCAGGGGAGACUGGAAUUCCUGGUGUAGCGGUGAAAUGCGCAGAUAUCAGGAGGAACACCGGUGGCGAAGGCGGGUUGCUGGGCUGAUACUGACGCUGAGGCGCGAAAGCCAGGGGAGCGAACGGG
rnacentral:rRNA from 1 species